GUCUCGGUGCUCGCGGCCCAACCCCCGCGGCUUGGUCCGGGAACAGCCGCUGCCCAGCUGGGGCACUGAGACCUGGCACGCCCCUCCUUUCCCCGGGAGUCAGGGCAACAAAGGGCCGGUUAGGAGGGCACUGGCAGAUGUGGCCCCGCCCACGGAAGCCGAGCGGUGUUGAGUGACCCCCUGAGUCUGGGGCAUCCCGGGAAGCUUCAAGGCUUGUGCUGAGGCUCAGAGAUCCAGUCGCCCACGAAGCUUAACACUCCGAUUGGUAAGGUGCCGGACUGAGUCACAGCCAGAGUUUGGCGUGGAGCUUGCUUCGAGGCCCGGCUCCAGGGAUCACUGACUUUAACCAGAUUGAAUGGAGACCCCAGGAUGCUGCUCAGUGGGACCUGCAGAGUGUGAUGCUGGGAAACUGGGAAUCUGUUGUCCGAGAGCUUCUCUCCUCCAAACCCGAAGUAAUCACCCAGUUGGAGCAAGGGGCAGAGGCGUGGAUGGAGGUACAAGAAGUGCCAUCAUGUACUUACCUGUGCAGGUAAGUGGGGCGGGAACCAUUUCAAGCAGCAGCUCAGCACCGCAGCUAAUUUUAGAAUGCCUGUGUCUGCAGAGGGCUGGGGCACUUUACAUUAGUUUACUCUUUGUCAUCCUCAUGCUAAAUGACUUGGCCCUUUUCACUUCAUUCUUUCCACUCCUGUGGCGAGCUGCUCCCUUCAUGAGGGCCUCAGGCCCAUGACUUCCUGCCUUGAAAUCCUCAGUCUCUUUUGUGUUGUUUCCUUCUCCAUUUUCAGGCACUUGUCAGGCUCUCCUUUAUUUGUUUCUACCUUCUGUUCAUUCUCAGUUCCUUCCAAACUCUCUCAUGGUUGGCUUGUUCAGUGACUGUAUAACCUUUCUAGUUAUUGUUAAUAUUCAUAUCCCUGAUUAGAUAGCAGCAGUGGCAGACUCCAAGUAUAAGCAUAGUUUCCUAACUCAGAUAAUUACGAUUCUGAGCAAACAAAUUGAUAGGGAAGCAUUUUCUUCCCUUUUCUCCUGGGUCUUUUAUUUCUCUUCUCUGUUAUCCGUUGCUCCUGGUGCUCAUUUUUUCUAUGUAGACUUUGCAUAAAUUUCUGUAUGUCACGGUCUCUGUUUCAUAAUUUAUUUCUGAAUCUUCAAACAUGGCUGUUUCUCUCAUCUAAAAUAUUUAUGCUGUCAGUAUUCCUACCUUUAAAGCUAAUUCUAUUUUUGUCUAUAUCAUCUUCAGGGAAACUUUUAUAACUGUAUUUCAU